UGUGGCUUCUUACUACUUUCAGUUGCACCAGUGUAACCUUGUCUCCAGAACCUGAACUGUCACCUCUGUAUCCAAAAUCCCUGCAUUUGAGGAUGUCUUUCCAGGCAUCAAUUGGAGUUGCGGGAAGAUGAAGAAUAAUGAAGAAUAAAGCUGAAUGAAUCCUGAUAAAAUGGACAUUGCUGUGUUUGGACUGCAAUUUGUGGUGUGCCAAUCAUCUCAGAUGCUGGAGAUGGGGAUCUCUGCAAAUAACAGAAGAAAAACCGCACAUCCCUUUUCAAUUUGCAAAUGUCUUUCAAGUUGGUGCAUGCAGAUUCUGGAGCUUGGGUCAGGGGCCCACACACAAUAUAACAGCAAACAAGGAUCUCUCCGCAGCACACAAU